UACGUAGGGGGCGAGCGUUGUCCGGAUUUAUUGGGCGUAAAGAGCGUGUAGGCGGCCAGGUAGGUCCGUUGUGAAAACUCGAGGCUCAACCUCGAGACGCCGGUGGAAACCGUAAAGCUAGAGUCCGGAAGAGGAGAGUGGAAUUCCUGGUGUAGCGGUGAAAUGCGCAGAUAUCAGGAGGAACACCCGUGGCGAAAGCGGCUCUCUGGGACGGUACUGACGCUGAGACGCGAAAGCGUGGGUAGCAAACAGG
rnacentral:rRNA from 1 species